rnacentral:rRNA from 2 species
UACGUAGGGGGCGAGCGUUGUCCGAAUUCACUGGGCGUAAAGCGCGCGUAGGCGGGUUAUUAAGUUGGUGGUGAAAUCCCGAGGCUCAACCUCGGAACUGCCGUCAAAACUGAUAGCCUUGAGGUUUGGAGAGGGAACUGGAAUUCCAGGUGUAGCGGUGAAAUGCGUAGAUAUCUGGAGGAACACCCAUGGCGAAGGCAGGUUCCUGGCCAUAUCCUGACGCUGAGGUGCGAAAGCUAGGGUAGCGAACGGG